GACGCACUCUGGCGGCGUGCUUAACACAUGCAAGUCGAACGGUAAGGCUCCAGCUUGCUGGGGUACACGAGUGGCGAACGGGUGAGUAACACGUGGGUGACCUGCCCUGCACUUCGGGAUAAGCCUGGGAAACUGGGUCUAAUACCGGAUAGGACCGCACCGUGAGGGUGUGGUGGAAAGUUUUUUCGGUGUGGGAUGGGCCCGCGGCCUAUCAGCUUGUUGGUGGGGUAAUGGCCUACCAAGGCGGCGACGGGUAGCCGGCCUGAGAGGGUGGACGGCCACAUUGGGACUGAGACACGGCCCAGACUCCUACGGGAGGCAGCAGUGGGGAAUAUUGCACAAUGGGCGGAAGCCUGAUGCAGCGACGCCGCGUGGGGGAUGACGGCCUUCGGGUUGUAAACUCCUUUCACCAUCGACGAAGGGUUUCUGACGGUAGAUGGAGAAGAAGCACCGGCUAACUACGUGCCAGCAGCCGCGGUAAUACGUAGGGUGCGAGCGUUGUCCGGAAUUACUGGGCGUAAAGAGCUCGUAGGUGGUUUGUCGCGUCGUCUGUGAAAUUCCGGGGCUUAACUCCGGGCGCGCAGGCGAUACGGGCAUAACUUGAGUACUGUAGGGGAGACUGGAAUUCCUGGUGUAGCGGUGAAAUGCGCAGAUAUCAGGAGGAACACCGGUGGCGAAGGCGGGUCUCUGGGCAGUAACUGACGCUGAGGAGCGAAAGCAUGGGGAGCGAACAGGAUUAGAUACCCUGGUAGUCCAUGCCGUAAACGGUGGGCGCUAGGUGUGGGUUUCCUUCCACGGGAUCCGUGCCGUAGCUAACGCAUUAAGCGCCCCGCCUGGGGAGUACGGCCGCAAGGCUAAAACUCAAAGGAAUUGACGGGGGCCCGCACAAGCGGCGGAGCAUGUGGAUUAAUUCGAUGCAACGCGAAGAACCUUACCUGGGCUUGACAUAUACAGGAUCGCGCCAGAGAUGGUGUUUCCCUUGUGGCUUGUAUACAGGUGGUGCAUGGUUGUCGUCAGCUCGUGUCGUGAGAUGUUGGGUUAAGUCCCGCAACGAGCGCAACCCUUGUCUUAUGUUGCCAGCACGUUGUGGUGGGGACUCGUAAGAAACUGCCGGGGUUAACUCGGAGGAAGGUGGGGAUGACGUCAAAUCAUCAUGCCCCUUAUGUCCAGGGCUUCACACAUGCUACAAUGGUCGGUACAGUGGGUUGCCAGUCCGUGAGGGCGAGCUAAUCCCGCAAAGCCGGUCUCAGUUCGGAUCGGGGUCUGCAACUCGACCCCGUGAAGUCGGAGUCGCUAGUAAUCGCAGAUCAGCAACGCUGCGGUGAAUACGUUCCCGGGCCU
rnacentral:rRNA from 1 species